rnacentral:ncRNA from 2 species
UACGUAGGGGGCGAGCGUUGUCCGGAAUUAUUGGGCGUAAAGGGCUCGCAGGCGGUCUUCUAAGUCUGAUGUGAAAUCUCGUAGCUUAACUACGAGCGGUCAUUGGAAACUGGGAGACUUGAGGACAGAAGAGGAGAGUGGAAUUCCACGUGUAGCGGUGAAAUGCGUAGAGAUGUGGAGGAACACCAGUGGCGAAGGCGACUCUCUGGUCUGUCACUGACGCUGAGGAGCGAAAGCGUGGGGAGCGAACAGG